CCCCGAACGGUGGCAGCAUCAGAUCCCUCCAUCUCGCGGUGCAGGGCCUCCGGUCCGUGCCACGAUGCCGCCGGCAUGGAGGCCCGGGCCGGGUAGCCGCCGCGGUGUCGGGUGCGCCGGCGAGGUCUCUGGGAACCGCGCGGUAGGCGACUGGCGCGGCUUCUGGUCGUUGGUUCCGGCGAUGCCAAGCCGAAGAUCUUAGUCGCUGAGCCACAUCCAUCCGCCGGCCCCGACACCGAGCUCUGGCUGUCCACUGCCCUCAACCUCGAGCUCCGGCCGUCUGCCGCCCACGACCCCGUCCGCCUCGAUCCCCCGACACAGUCCGCAACCUGCCUCGCCUGGAGUCGCGCUCCCCCCUUACCCCGUGUCCCUGCCACCAUGGGUGCUGCAGCCGCCGAUAACUCCGACCCCAGCCACGCAAGGUGGAUGUAGCGGGACUCAGUUAGCAAAGAGGAGGGAAACAGUAGAGGAAGGUCGUGGCGCUGUCGAAGGGCCGUCGUACACGUUUGCUCUCAACGCGUUUGUCGACCUCAAGCACGACGAGUUCGGCGCCACGCGCCUUUGGUGCCUCGCCGUCCGGAGGCUUCGAGGACGCUGCAGGCACCAUGCCCGAUGCGCUGAACCGGAGGUAGAGCGGCGCCGUCACAAAGUUCAAGGACCAAGGCAGCUGCGAAAACAGAGUUGGUUUAAAGCAGACCAGUUGUGCCUGUGUCUGGCUGACGAAUUCAAACCUGAGCUGCAAUUUGGCGGUGACGAAGACGAACCGGAGGGCAAGGGACUCUGCCAUUGUUGCGCAGAAAAAAGAAGGUCUUCUCCCACCACGCCUGACCAGCAUUGCAAGCGACUCUGCCGGGAAGAACAUCCACUGUAGCAGCAGGGGCAAUCAAGGAAGUCACAGCAGCAGAUCCGACAGUAGUAGUGACAUCUGCGGCCGUAGAAGUAGCUAGAGCAUGGGCAUGAUGAGUAGGAGGGUGUUGUGGAUAUGAUCUCCACCUGCUGCGUUAGGGAGAGAGCAUAGCAUGGAGGAUGGUGAGCUACUUGACCAUGGAGGAUGAGUUGUUGUGUGAUGCGUGGCUGGCCGUAUUCAUGGAUUUCAUAGGCAGGACCAGAGGCGAGCCCUUCUGGGAGAAAGUGCAUGAAAAGUUUCACGCACGAAAGCACAUUGCGCCCUACGAUAUGUACAUCAUUUUACCACGCAACAUGAGGUCGUUGUCGCAUCACUGGCACGCUAUCCAGAUCAGCAUCACCAAGUUUUGCGACGUGGUUCGUCAGCUCGAGGCAAGGUGGCCAUUGCACGCGGCAGAGGACGAUCGUUAGUUUUACUUCCUCUUGCUCAACUUGAUGAUCGAUUCAUUCACUCAGUGUUGGUCUACACAUUAUGUAGCUCGCACAUGUUGUCGUGAUGUACCACAGGACAGGGGGCGGCCAUUUACAUGUACACACUGUUCGAUGAAGCUGAAGGGGAAGUAUGUGUGAAAUGGCAUGAUCAGUUGAUGAAAAACUUGUUGAAAAUCCGGGAACUAGUCGAAUUAGACAUAUUGUUGUACUGGACUUAAUUUGCAUGAUAUGUAUGGACGAUUUGUUCUGUUUUUA